rnacentral:rRNA from 1 species
UACGAAGGGGGCUAGCGUUGCUCGGAAUCACUGGGCGUAAAGGGUGCGUAGGCGGGUCUUUAAGUCAGGGGUGAAAUCCUGGAGCUCAACUCCAGAACUGCCUUUGAUACUGAAGAUCUUGAGUUCCGGGAGAGGUGAGUGGAACUGCGAGUGUAGAGGUGAAAUUCGUAGAUAUUCGCAAGAACACCAGUGGCGAAGGCGGACUCACUGGCCCGU